AUGCUGGCUGCAGUGAAGAUGAAAAAGUCACUAGAGUUGAUAAACUCUAGGUUCCAACUCAUUGUGAAAAGUGGAUAGUACAUGCUGGGAUGCAAGCAGACUCUGAAUAUGAUCAGACAAGGCAAAGCGAAAUCAGUUGACCUCACCACAACUGCCCAGCUUUGAGGAAAUAUAAAAUAAAGUACAAUGCCACACUGGCCAAAACUGGUGUCCAUCACCACAGUGGCAAUAAUUUGGAAUUGGGCACAGGUUGGGGAAAAUACUGCACACACUGGCUAUCAUUGACCCCAUUCUGAUAUCAUUAGUAGCAUGCCAGAGCAGACUGGUGAAAAGUAA
rnacentral:lncRNA from 1 species